UCUAACGAUGACGUAGUUUGAAAGUCGAUGUCACGUGACAUAAAGUGGGCGUGUCCUCGCUCAGUUUCCGGAAACAUGGAGGCAGUUCUGAGCGACGUCGUAGCUCCUGAAGAUCUUUUAAAAUUUGAGAAGAAAUACAAAAGUGAGCUGUCGAAGGGAGCCGUCUCCAAAGAGA